rnacentral:lncRNA from 1 species
GUUCGCUAUUCCUGUAUCUGUCAGUCUGAGCUGCUAUCCAUCUAAUCUGCCCCUUAAGCUGGUAUUUCUCUAUCAGCAUAUGCAUCUUUUUUAUUUCAGCUGCUUCUUCUCUAUCCUUGGAUUUUGUAGGAUCAAAGGAACCACCAACCACAACAAGGUUAACUAAGCUUCUGAGCCUCUUGUUCUUGCCAUACCAUUCAGCUAGGCCAGUUGUGUUCUUCACUGUGUCCAGCCUCGCCAUGGUGAAGAGAAUAGGUUUCUUUCUGUCUUCUAAAUAUCCACUGUGCUUGAAACAACUAAUAUAUUAAUCCAUAGAACUGUAGGAUGUUCUUAUUGGCACUAAGCUGAAGUUUAAACACUUAAAAGACUUACAUGUGCUCGUCAUUAUCCACUUUACUAAAAAGAAGUUCCUCAAUGGCAGGGCGGAAGUUGGUCAAGCGCUUCUGCUUUUCUGUGUAAGGAAAGUACACCGACUGGUCUGCCCCAGGAGCAGCAAUGUUAAAUUUAGGAUCAAAGACACUGAUGCCUGAAACAACUCUAAAAAGCCCUGGAAGG